CCGAACUAGCCUCCAAUGCCGAAACCUUCAACCUCUCGCUGUUUCAUAGAGUCUUCGGCUUGCGAGGCGAGUUCUUCUCUUCCUUUAGCCGAUCGUAGUUUGGUUGUCGAUGACCUUCCUUCCUUCAAACGCAUAGACCCACACACACACACACACACACAUAUAUAUAUAUAUAAGGUGGGUUUAUUCUACAAACACCCCCUAAGAGUCUUAUUCUGCUAACAAAACAGCUUGUUCUGCUAACACUUCUGUACUACUCGAUCCACUGGACACGGACCGCAUAGCAAGCACAGAAAACUGACUCCACCCACUCCCUACACCUCCUUCCUUCAGCCGGGGCCACGCCCACCCCAUCCCGACCCACCUCCCUCCAUCGUGCCUCCACCCCACCUCCCUCCCACGCAUGGCUUGCCCCGACCACCACUCAGCAUCGCCCCCUGGUAAUCACCCCGUGCCACUCGCCCUUCAUGGUCGAGCAGCUUCUUCCCUGAAGCCCCAAGCUUCCUAUCCUUCCCCACCUUCUACCGCGGAGCCACCCCAAUCACUACCCUAGAUUGAGCCCGAUGCGCACCUGCCCCUUCCCAUCUCUCAGACGAUCUGCACCCGGUCCCGCGCCAUGGAAGCCCCCAACUUUCCUCCGGCGCCAGAUCCAAGCAGCCUCGAUGCUCCUCCACCUUAUCACUUUCGCAUCACCCGUCGUAGAUGGUGUGAGAGGACUGUUGCAGUACACUGUGGCCAUCUUGACGAUCCCCCGUUGUGCCAUGGGUUUCCACUGCGGUCAUCAGACAGGAUCCGCCGCCGACGCGCCGCAUCCAAGUUUUCGGUCCCCCCACGACCCCCCUUCAUCAUCGACAAGAGGUGAAAUGCAGCGGCUAGCUACUGUGAGAAGAUGAAGGCGGCGAACCCGCACACCAAAUCUGCCCAGUCUCUCCCCUUGCUUGUGGACGGCGGACAUGCAGUGUUCUUGCACUCAUGGUUGGUUGCCUAGCCUUCGUCCCGCACGUCUACAUUGUCGUCCUUGUUGAGGCCCACAUUUCCAUCCUCGUUGGCGUCGUGCUCCGCUCGUGUCUGAGUCACCAUCACGGACUAAUGGUGAUAGGCCCAUAAAGCAUCAUCCAUAUUAGCUUUUGGUGUAUAACUUUUUGCAUAUUCUUGCAUUUGUUGCUAUCUUAUGGACGACAAGAGUAACAUGAAGAACGAAAUAGAUGGCUCCCUUCGAGCCCUUCCUCGCAAAGUUGGUGUCCAGUUUUUUUGUUCCUCUUAUAUAUUGGAUUUUUUUUAUUUUAUGGUUACAUUUUCUGCUUCUUGCAUGUUAAGGGAGGGCUUAAAUUCGCGCCCAAAAAGCCUUCGAAGAAACCUGCGAAGGUUGUACCAAAAACGGAGCCUACUGAGGAGAGCAAGGAUGAAAUCAUUGAGAAGGAGUUGGUGAUGAAACUCAAGACAUCGGAGGUGCAUGUAUUAGUUUGUUGUGUUGGUUGUUUGUUGUAUGUGCAACCUUCUUGUUUGAUGGCUUAUUGGUGUUUGUUAUAUAUUAGUCAUCAAUUUCAGGGCAUUAAGAUUAAUUUAAAAUGAAAAAAGAGUUGUUAAAAGUUUA